rnacentral:rRNA from 1 species
CCCUUAGAUGUUCUGGGCCGCACGCGCGCUACACUGACGAAUGCAACGAGCUUAUAACCUUGGCCGAAAGGUCUGGGUAAUCUCCAAAUUUCGUCGUGAUGGGGAUAGAUUAUUGCAAUUAUUAAUCUUCAACGAGGAAUGCCUAGUAAGCGCAAGUCAUCAGCUUGCGUUGAUUACGUCCCUGCCCUUUGUACGCACCGCCCGUCGCUCCUACCGAUUGAAUGGUCCGGUGAAGCGCUCGGACCGCGGCCUCUUGACGGUUUUCCGUCGAUUGGCUGUGGGAAGUUCGUUAAACCUUAUCAUUUAGAGGAAGGAGAAGUCGUAACA